rnacentral:tRNA from 1 species
GGGGUAGCCAAGCUAGGUCAAAGGCGCAGGGAUUCAUACUCCUGUGGCGUAGGCCUUCGUGGGUUCAAAUCCCACCCCCCGCACCA